GACGAACGCUGGCGGCGUGCCUAAUACAUGCAAGUCGAACGCAGUGGCGGACGGGUGAGUAACGCGUAGGUAACUGCCUCAUAGCGUGGGAUAACUAUUGGAAACGAUAGCUAAUACCGCAUACUGUGUGAUGGACCUGCGUUGUAUUAGCUAGUUGGGGAGGUAAAGGCUCACAAAGGCGACGAUACAUAGCCGGCCCGGGGGGGUGAUCGGGCACACUGGGACUGAGACACGGCCCAGAAUCCUCAGGGAGGCAGCAGUAGGGAAUCUUCGGAAAUGGACGGAAGUCUGACCGAGCAACGCCGCGUGAGUGAAGAAGGUUUUCGGAUCGUAAAGCUCUGUUGUUAGAGAAGCGGUAACUAAACAGAAAGGGACGGCUAACUACGUGCCAGCCGCCGCGGUAAUAC
rnacentral:rRNA from 1 species